GAUGAACGCUAGCUACAGGCUUAACACAUGCAAGUCGCGGGGCAGCAUGGGGGUUGCUUGCAAUCCCCGAUGGCGACCGGCGCACGGGUGAGUAACGCGUAUCCAACCUGCCCUUCACCACGGGAUAACCCGGCGAAAGUCGGACUAAUACCGUAUGUUGUCCAUUGACGGCAUCCAAUUUGGACGAAAGGCUUGGCGGUGAGGGAUGGGGAUGCGUCCGAUUAGCCAGACGGCGGGGUAACGGCCCACCGUGGCUACGAUCGGUAGGGGUUCUGAGAGGAAGGUCCCCCAAACUGGAACUGAGACACGGUCCAGACUCCUACGGGAGGCAGCAGUGAGGAAUAUUGGUCAAUGGGCGUAAGCCUGAACCAGCCAAGUAGCGUGCAGGAUGACGGCCCUAUGGGUUGUAAACUGCUUUUAUGCGGGGAUAAAGUGGCCCACGUGUGGGCUUUUGCAGGUACCGCAUGAAUAAGGACCGGCUAAUUCCGUG
rnacentral:rRNA from 1 species